rnacentral:rRNA from 1 species
UACGUAGGGGGCAAGCGUUGUCCGGAAUCAUUGGGCGUAAAGAGCGUGUAGGCGGUCCGGUAAGUCGGCUGUGAAAGUCCAGGGCUCAACCCUGGGAUGCCGGUCGAUACUGCCGGACUAGAGUUCGGAAGAGGCGAGUGGAAUUCCCGGUGUAGCGGUGAAAUGCGCAGAUAUCAGGAGGAACACCUGCGGUGUAGACGGCUUACUGGACCAUAACUGACGCUGAGGCACGAAAGCGUGGGUAGCAAACAGG